UACGGGGGGUGCGAGCGUUGUCCGGAAUCACUGGGCGUAAAGGGCGCGUAGGUGGCCUGGUAAGUCUGUGGUGAAAGCCCGGAGCUCAACUCCGGGUCUGCCGCGGAUACUGCGAGGCUUGAGUGCUGUAGAGGGGGGUAGAAUGCCGGGUGUAGCGGUGGAAUGCGUAGAGAUCCGGCAGAAGACCGGUGGCGAAGGCGGCCCCCUGGGCAGUAACUGACACUGAGGCGCGACAGCGUGGGGAGCAAACAGG
rnacentral:rRNA from 1 species